AUGGCUCCUCAAGUUUUCGGCACCCAAUCUCCGAUUGUACCUUCCCACCAUGCACUCUUUCUUCUCUGCGCCAUCCUUGUAUUUCUGUCCUCCAACACAAUGGUGUUCACAUCAGCACAAGCUAGCAACAGAUCCGAGAGUGACCGGCAAGCCCUUCUCUGCUUCAAAUCUGGCAUCUCCUUGGACCCAGCCAGUGUUCUCCGAUCAUGGCGCAAUGACUCGCUUGACUUCUGCAGCUGGCGAGGGGUCACCUGCAGCAUGGCCCUCCCAGUCCGUGUUGUGUCCAUACAAUUCAGGUCUGCACAGCUCACAGGAACACUAUCCAGAUGCAUAGCAGGCCUUAGUUCUCUAAAGAAUAUGGAGCUUCCAAGUAAUCAAUUUUCUGGACGCAUACCUGACAAGAUAGGUGAGCUUCGGAGCCUCCAAAACCUGAAUCUUGCCGGCAACAUGUUUUCAGGUAACAUCCCUCUGUCAUUAGGUACAGCUACAUCUCUUAGAUAUGUCAACCUUGCAAACAAUUCUCUUAGCGGAGCUAUCCCUGAUUCCUUAGCAAAUAGUUCAUCACUCAGUGAGAUACUCCUUUCACGUAACAACUUAGCUGGGGUGAUCCCAGCUAAUUUGUUCAAUUCAUCCAAACUUCGUCAUGUUGAUCUCCAGUGGAAUGCUCUCUAUGGGGCCAUCCCACAUUUACAAAAGAUGUCAGCUCUGCAGUUUCUCGAUCUCACAGGGAAUUUUCUUUAUGGUACCAUACCAUCAUCUUUAGGAAAUGUUUCAUCCUUGCGUUCCCUCCUUCUAGCACAAAACAUCUUAUCAGGAACAAUUCCGCAAACUUUGGGUCAAAUUCCAAACAUAACAAUGCUAGAUCUAAGUUACAAUAGAUUAUUGGGGUAUGUCCCAGCCACACUGUGCAAUGUGUCAUCACUCACACUCUUCAGCUUAGGCAGCAACAGGUUUAUUGGACAGAUAGCUUCCGAAAUUGGCCACUCACUUCCAAAUCUCCAAACAUUGGUAAUGGGAGGCAACCAAUUUCGCGGAUCAAUCCCAGAUUCUCUGACCAACAUGUCAACGCUGCGAGUGCUUGAUCUUUCAAGCAACGUGCUGACUGGUGUGGUGCCAUCUCUAGGAUCCUUGGCAAACUUGAGUCAACUGCUUCUAGGAGAUAAUAAACUCGAAGCUGGUGACUGGGCAUUCCUUGUCUCUCUCACCAAUUGCACUCAGUUGUUACGAUUAUCAUUGGAUGGGAAUAUCCUGAAUGGAGGUUUGCCAAAGACAGUAGGCAGCCUUUCAAUGAAGCUCGAGCGGUUAAACUUUGGAAGAAACCAGAUUUCGGGAAACAUACCCGCAGAGAUAGGCAACCUUGUAGACCUCGCUCUGCUUGACAUGGGCCAGAACAUGCUCUCAGGACAAAUCCCCCCGAGUGUUGGGAACUUGAGCAACUUGUUUAUACUGGAACUAUCGAGGAAUAGAUUAUCAGGUCAGAUUCCAUCAACGGUUGGUAAUCUUCUUCAACUCGGGCAGCUUUAUCUUGAUCACAACAAUUUGUCUGGAAACAUACCAGCAACUAUAGGACAAUGCAAAAGACUAGCUAUGCUGAACUUAGCAGUCAACAACUUUGAUGGAUCCAUACCAAGAGUACUCCUCAAUAUUUCUUCCCUCUCAUUGGGUUUGGACUUGUCAAACAACAACCUGACUGGGCCUAUACCACAGGAAGUUGGUAACCUGAUUACUCUUGGCCUCCUUGAUGUUUCCAACAACAAAUUAUCUGGUGGCCUUCCUUCUGAACUUGGCCGGUGUGUUACAUUGUUAUCCCUUCAAAUGGAAGGCAACAUGCUCAGUGGGAGUAUUCCCCAGUCUUUCAGUGCACUGAAGGGCAUACGACAGAUAGAUCUGUCUGAGAACAAUUUAACUGGUCAAGUUCCACAGUUUUUCGGGAACUUCAGCAGCUUAAAUUAUAUUGAUAUAUCAUACAACAAAUUUGAAGGGCCAAUCCCGACUGGUGGUAUAUUUGGAAAUUCAACUGCAGUGUUCCUGCUUGGUAACACAGGAUUAUGUGAAACAGCUUCUGCCAUAUUUGGACUGCCCAUUUGCCCAACCUCCUCAGAAACAAGAAGGAAGAUCAACACACGCCUGCUGCUGAUAAUAGCUCCACCAAUUACUAUUGCUGUGUUUUCAUUAUUAUGUGUUGCUGUCACUAUUAUGAAAGGGACCAAAACUCAACCAUCUGAAAACUUCAUGGAGACAAUGAAGAGGGUGUCAUACGGUGACAUUCUUAAAGCCACCAAUUGGUUCUCUCUGGUGAACCGGAUCAGCUCGAGUCAUACAGCAUCAGUCUACAUUGGUCGGUUUGAGUUCGAGACAGAUCUAGUGGCCAUCAAGGUGUUCCAUCUUAGCGAGCAAGGUUUGAGAAAUAGCUUUUUCACCGAGUGCGAAGUCCUAAAACACACCCGCCACCGCAAUCUGGUUCAAGCUAUCACCCUGUGCUCCACGGUAGAUUUUGAGGGCAAUGAAUUCAAGGCUAUUGUAUAUGAGUUCAUGGCAAACGGUAGCCUGGACAUGUGGAUACAUCCGAGGCCUCACCGAGGCAGCCCGAGGAGGCUGCUAAGCUUGGGUCAGCGGAUAGGUAUUGCUGCUGAUGUGGCUGCUGCUCUGGACUAUCUACACAACCAGCUGACACCUCCUUUGAUCCACUGCGAUUUGAAGCCAGGCAAUGUUCUGCUGGACUACGACAUGACCUCACGCAUCGGUGACUUUGGGUCCGCCAAGUUUCUCUCAUCAGGUAUUGGCGGACCAGAAGGCUUGGUUGGUGUCGGAGGAACGAUUGGAUAUAUUGCACCUGAAUACGGGAUGGGAUGCAAAAUAUCGACAGGCUAUGACGUGUACAGCUUUGGGGUGCUGCUACUGGAGAUGCUCACGGCAAUUCGACCAACGGACGCACUAUGCGGUGACGCUCUCAGCCUUCACAAGUAUCUUGACCUAGCCUUCCCCGACAGAGUCGCUGAAGUUCUAGAUCCCCAUAUGCCAUCCGAGGAGGAUGAGGCGGCCUUUUCCCUACAUAUGCAAAAGUACAUUAUACCUUUGGUCAGCAUUGGCCUGAUGUGCACCAUGGACUCACCGAAAGAUAGACCAGGGAUGCAUGAUGUUUGUGCCAGGAUUGUUGCCAUCAAAGAGGCAUUUGUCGAGGCCUUGUGA
rnacentral:rRNA from 1 species